GGGUUGUGAGGUUAAGCGACUAAGCGUACACGGUGGAUGCCCUGGCAGUCAGAGGCGAUGAAGGACGUGCUAAUCUGCGAUAAGCGUCGGUAAGGUGAUAUGAACCGUUAUAACCGGCGAUUUCCGAAUGGGGAAACCCAGUGUGAUUCGUCACACUAUCAUUAACUGAAUCCAUAGGUUAAUGAGGCGAACCGGGGGAACUGAAACAUCUAAGUACCCCGAGGAAAAGAAAUCAACCGAGAUUCCCCCAGUAGCGGCGAGCGAACGGGGAGCAGCCCAGAGCCUGAAUCAGUGUGUGUGUUAGUGGAAGCGUCUGGAAAGGCGUGCGAUACAGGGUGACAGCCCCGUACACAAAAAUGCACAUACUGUGAGCUCGAUGAGUAGGGCGGGACACGUGGUAUCCUGUCUGAAUAUGGGGGGACCAUCCUCCAAGGCUAAAUACUCCUGACUGACCGAUAGUGAACCAGUACCGUGAGGGAAAGGCGAAAAGAACCCCGGCGAGGGGAGUGAAAAAGAACCUGAAACCGUGUACGUACAAGCAGUGGGAGCACGCUUAGGCGUGUGACUGCGUACCUUUUGUAUAAUGGGUCAGCGACUUAUAUUCUGUAGCAAGGUUAACCGAAUAGGGGAGCCGAAGGGAAACCGAGUCUUAACUGGGCGUUAAGUUGCAGGGUAUAGACCCGAAACCCGGUGAUCUAGCCAUGGGCAGGUUGAAGGUUGGGUAACACUAACUGGAGGACCGAACCGACUAAUGUUGAAAAAUUAGCGGAUGACUUGUGGCUGGGGGUGAAAGGCCAAUCAAACCGGGAGAUAGCUGGUUCUCCCCGAAAGCUAUUUAGGUAGCGCCUCGUGAAUUCAUCUCCGGGGGUAGAGCACUGUUUCGGCAAGGGGGUCAUCCCGACUUACCAACCCGAUGCAAACUGCGAAUACCGGAGAAUGUUAUUACGGGAGACACACGGCGGGUGCUAACGUCCGUCGUGAAGAGGGAAACAACCCAGACCGCCAGCUAAGGUCCCAAAGUCAUGGUUAAGUGGGAAACGAUGUGGGAAGGCCCAGACAGCCAGGAUGUUGGCUUAGAAGCAGCCAUCAUUUAAAGAAAGCGUAAUAGCUCACUGGUCGAGUCGGCCUGCGCGGAAGAUGUAACGGGGCUAAACCAUGCACCGAAGCUGCGGCAGCGACGCUUAUGCGUUGUUGGGUAGGGGAGCGUUCUGUAAGCCUGUGAAGGUGUGCUGUGAGGUAUGCUGGAGGUAUCAGAAGUGCGAAUGCUGACAUAAGUAACGAUAAAGCGGGUGAAAAGCCCGCUCGCCGGAAGACCAAGGGUUCCUGUCCAACGUUAAUCGGGGCAGGGUGAGUCGACCCCUAAGGCGAGGCCGAAAGGCGUAGUCGAUGGGAAACAGGUUAAUAUUCCUGUACUUGGUGUUACUGCGAAGGGGGGACGGAGAAGGCUAUGUUGGCCGGGCGACGGUUGUCCCGGUUUAAGCGUGUAGGCUGGUUUUCCAGGCAAAUCCGGAAAAUCAAGGCCGAGGCGUGAUGACGAGGCACUACGGUGCUGAAGCAACAAAUGCCCUGCUUCCAGGAAAAGCCUCUAAGCAUCAGGUAACAUCAAAUCGUACCCCAAACCGACACAGGUGGUCAGGUAGAGAAUACCAAGGCGCUUGAGAGAACUCGGGUGAAGGAACUAGGCAAAAUGGUGCCGUAACUUCGGGAGAAGGCACGCUGAU
rnacentral:rRNA from 1 species